ACUUUUCUUUAAGUCAGGCCGGGUUAACCGGCCGGGCCGCAAGGCAGCGGUUUUGCCCGCGGGACCCAU
rnacentral:ncRNA from 1 species